UGUCUCAGUCUCUGAGGCAUGGCCUCUUCCACAGACCCUUGUUCCUGCUCCCCAGAAACCCAGCCCCACCCACGCGGAGCCGACCCUGGCCCUGACUCCAUUCUCCCUGGUGGACUGGAGUUCUGUGUUAUGUUGUUCAAAUUCUCUGAGAGAAGUUCAGAUUGGCUCAUCCUAGUGAAAGGAUUUGGGUCCCUGGGUCACACGUCCCUCCCUGGGCCAAGCCGCUGUGGCCGGGCGGGGGUGGCUGACUCACACUUUCAGAGGACCUGGAAGAGUGGGAGGCAGUUCCAGAGAAGGGCCUGGGCUGAGGCCCUAAAGACACAGCCUUUAAAAGUAUCCCUUGCUCCCCUGGACACGCCUCAACAUGCCUCCUCCUCUGGCCUGGUGACACCCUUCUCACCUUGACACAUUCUGUUCUGGAACACAUCCUUCUGAGCACACAUAUGCAAGAGCUGCCCCAAAUCGAAUUACUCACCUUCUUUACGUUGCUAUUUGCAGGGUUUCUUGCUUGCUCCUCUUUCAUCCUCUCUAAAUAGCUGCUUGGUCUUUCUUGUAUCCUUGAGCUUUUGUGAGGCCAAAACAGUUCCUAAACUUUCUCUGCCGUCCAUGCUGCUGAGUCUUCUGUCCCGCUGCCAGAGUGGAUCCUGUGCUGAUGUCAACGUGAAUCGCUUAUUUUCUUUCGGUCCCUUAAGGGGUUCUCUGGGGCAUCUUCCUAGAAUUGCUGAGAGAACCCCAGGAGUUCCUCCCUGUGGAAUAUGUCCGUUCUCAAAGAAGCAUUUUGGCAGUUGGAGGUGGGGAUUUGUGCUUGUCAUAAAAAUUGGGGGCACACCCGGUGUGCGGUGACGUAGAUGCAAUGCGAUUGUUGAGGCAGUCCUGCACUAGAGUCCUGCCGGGCAUUCUUGGAGGGCGGUGAUCCUCAGCCUGGUCCACAGACUUGCAGCGUGCGCAUCACCCGGGAGCUUAUCUGAAGUGCAAAUUCUCCAGCCCCACCCUCAAACUUGAGGUGGCUUUUUAAUGUGGUGACUUGGCUGGGCGGAACCACAUGCUCCAGAAUUCACUCCCCUGUGUGUUUCCGGGUAGAGUGGACCACGAGAGACGUUUCUGAGUGAGACGUGGUGGGUGGAAGGGAAGCCGCAGCCGUUCUGGUUUUACGCUCGGGCGUUGGGGCAGGUGUGGCUGUGACUCACCGGUCAGUGUGGAUUAUCUACCUGCAGCUGCUCCACCUUUCCGUGACCUUCCUUAAGCUUCUCCCACCCCUAGGCCGGGGGCGUGUUUAGCUCAGUGAUGAAUCGUGCAGGUGACCUGCAUCAAGACUGGAGACAGCGAGAGUUGACAGGUUCCAGCUGGUCCUUACCAUCCCCUUCCUGCCUGCCGUGUGGGCCCCAAGCUCCAGCAGCAGAUGGACAGGAAGACAGCAGCCUUACAGAGACUGUGGGCCCAGCUCCCACAGGUACCGUGUGUGUGUGUGUGUGUGUGUGUGUGUGUGUGUGUUAACUCCUAUUGGUCUGCUUCUCUCACAACACCCUGGGUAACAUUCCUACUGAUCAGAAACUCUGGGAACGGAGCCCAGCAGUUUGUGUUUUAACCAGUCCCCUAGGUGAUUCUUAUGCAUAUUACAGUUUGAGAACCACUGAUGUAGGGGAAAACCUUUUUACAAUUAUGUGUGCCUAGAACCUAACUUUUUUUCUCUCUCUUUUUAAAAAUUUUAUUUGAUUUUAUUUUUAUACAGCAGGUUCUUAUUAGUCAUCAAUUUUAUACACAUCAGUGUAUACAUGUCAAUCCCAAUUGCCCAAUUCGUCACACCACCCCCACCCCCUGCCGCUUUCUCCGCUUGGUGUCCAUACGUUUGUUCUCUACAUCUAUGUCUCAAUUUCUGCCCUGCAAACCAGUUCAUCUGUACCAUUUUUCUGAACCUAACUUUUUACAAAUACACAAGGAAAGUUUUGCACAGCUUUAAUACACCUGAAUUUCCCAAAAACUCAACUACUGCGUAAAACUGGAGAAAACAGUACUUUCUUUUGUUUAGAACUUUCCAAAGAGUUGUUCACCAAUUCAGAAAAAUCAUGUUCUUGACUCUUGGGUGUUAGUCACAAAUGCAGCACACCAGUCUGGCUGUAUAAUCAUGGCUGUCCUGCUCUUGAUGAUUUUACUACAUACAUGCAAGCAUCUGAUUACCUCAUUAUGUGAAAGAAUGAGCAUUUACACUGAAAUACAGAAUCUUUUGUAUUUUAUUCCCUUAUAGUGAUUUUGAUAUUAGGUUUGUAAACAAUCAAUAUUCCCUGUAAACUUUUAUUUCAGGAUAGUAAAGGGGUGUUUAAAAUACUGGUUAUAUACCAUACGACCCAGCAAUCCCACUACUGGGCAUAUACCCUGAGAAAACCAUAAUUCAAAAAGAGUCAUGUACCACAAUGUUCACUGCAGCUCUAUUUACAAUAGCCAGGACAUGGAAGCAAUCUAAGUGUCCAUCGACAGGAUGAAUGGAUAAAGAAGAUGUGGCACAUAUAUACAAUGGAAUAUAACUCAGUCAUAAAAAGAAACGAAAUUGAGUUAUUUGUAGUGAGGUGGAUGGACCUAGAAUCUGUCAUACAGAUUGAAGUAAGUCAGAAAGAGAAAAACAAAUACCAUAUGCUAACACAUAUUUAUGGAAUCUAAAAAAAAAAGGGGUCAUGAAGAACCUAGGGGCAGGACAGGAUUAAAGACGCAGACGUACUAGAGAAUGGACUUGAGGACACGGGGAGGGGGAAGGGUAAUCUGGGACGAAGUGAGAGAGUGAGAGAGUGGCAUGGACAUAUAUACACUACCAAAUGUAAAACCGAUAGCUAGUGGGAAGCAGCCACAUAGCAGAGCUCGGUGCUUUGUGACCACCUAGGGUGGGAUAGGGAGGGUCGGAGGGAGGGAGAUGCAAGAGGGAAGAGAUAUGGGGAUAUAUAUAUAUAUAUAUAUAUAUAUAUAUAUGUAUAGCUGAUUCAUUUUGUGAAUAAAACAGAAACACACCAUUGUAAAGCAAUUAUACUCCAAUAAAGAUGUUUAAAAAAAAAAGUGUUUUCACCAAA